rnacentral:miRNA from 1 species
CUCAUCGACGGAAGGAAUCCCUUCCGUCGAUGAGGGUGCUUUACCUCAUCGACGGAAGGAAUCCCUUCCGGUCGAUGAGGUUGUUGUACCUCAUCGGCCGGAAGGGAUUCCUUCUGUCGAUGAGGUAUAACACCCUCAUUGACGGAAGGGAUUCCUUCCGUCGAUGAG